rnacentral:rRNA from 1 species
AGAGUUUGAUCAUGGCUCAGGACGAACGCUGGCGGCACGCUUAACACAUGCAAGUCGAACGAGAGAAGAGGAGCUUGCUUUUCUGAUCUAGUGGCGGACGGGUGAGUAACACGUGAGCAAUCUGCCUUUCAGAGGGGGAUACCGAUUGGAAACGAUCGUUAAUACCGCAUAACAUAAUUGAACCGCAUGAUUUGAUUAUCAAAGAUUUAUCGCUGAAAGAUGAGCUCGCGUCUGAUUAGCUAGUUGGUAAGGUAACGGCUUACCAAGGCGACGAUCAGUAGCCGGACUGAGAGGUUGAUCGGCCACAUUGGGACUGAGACGCGGCCCAGACUCCUACGGGAGGCAGCAGUGGGGAAUAUUGCACAAUGGAGGAAACUCAGAUGCAGCGAUGCCGCGUGAGGGAAGAAGGUUUUAGGAUUGUAAACCUCUGUCUUCAGGGACGAAAAAAGACGGUACCUGAGGAGGAAGCUCCGGCUAACUACGUGCCAGCAGCCGCGGUAAUACGUAGGGAGCGAGCGUUGUCCGGAAUUACUGGGUGUAAAGGGAGCGUAGGCGGGAUCGCAAGUCAGAUGUGAAAACUAUGGGCUUAACCCAUAAACUGCAUUUGAAACUGUGGUUCUUGAGUGAAGUAGAGGUAAGCGGAAUUCCUAGUGUAGCGGUGAAAUGCGUAGAUAUUAGGAGGAACAUCAGUGGCGAAGGCGGCUUACUGGGCUUUAACUGACGCUGAGGCUCGAAAGCGUGGGGAGCAAACAGGAUUAGAUACCCUGGUAGUCCACGCCGUAAACGAUGAUUACUAGGUGUGGGGGGACUGACCCCUUCCGUGCCGCAGCAAACGCAAUAAGUAAUCCACCUGGGGAGUACGACCGCAAGGUUGAAACUCAAAGGAAUUGACGGGGGCCCGCACAAGCAGUGGAGUAUGUGGAUUAAUUCGAAGCAACGCGAAGAACCUUACCAGGUCUUGACAUCGUAUGCAUAGCUCAGAGAUGAGUGAAAUCUCUUCGGAGACAUAUAGACAGGUGGUGCAUGGUUGUCGUCAGCUCGUGUCGUGAGAUGUUGGGUUAAGUCCCGCAACGAGCGCAACCCUUACUGUUAGUUGCUACGCAAGAGCACUCUAGCAGGACUGCCGUUGACAAAACGGAGGAAGGUGGGGAUGACGUCAAAUCAUCAUGCCCCUUAUGACCUGGGCCUCACACGUACUACAAUGGCUGUCAACAGAGGGAAGCAAAGCCGCGAGGUGGAGCGAACCCCUAAAAGCAGUCUUAGUUCGGAUUGUAGGCUGCAACCCGCCUACAUGAAGUCGGAAUCGCUAGUAAUCGCAGAUCAGCAUGCUGCGGUGAAUACGUUCCCGGGCCUUGUACACACCGCCCGUCACGCCAUGGGAGUCG